rnacentral:rRNA from 1 species
GGACUACAGGGGUAUCUAAUCCUGUUUGCUCCCCACGCUUUCGUGCAUGAGCGUCAGUGUUAUCCCAGGAGGCUGCCUUCGCCAUCGGUAUUCCUCCACAUCUCUACGCAUUUCACUGCUACACGUGGAAUUCUACCUCCCUCUGACACACUCUAGCCUGCCAGUUACAAGCGCCAUUCCCAGGUUAAGCCCGGGGAUUUCACACCUGUCUUAACAAACCGCCUGCGCACGCUUUACGCCCAGUAAUUCCGAUUAACGCUCGCACCCUACGUAUUACCGCGGCUGCUGGCAC